UCCAGACUCCUACGGGAGGCAGCAGUGAGGAAUAUUGGUCAAUGGGCGCGAGCCUGAACCAGCCAAGUCGCGUGAGGGAAGACGGCCCUACGGGUUGUAAACCUCUUUUGUCGGGGAGCAAAGCGAGUCACGUGUGACUCAUUGAGAGUACCCGAAGAAAAAGCAUCGGCUAACUCCGUGCCAGCAGCCGCGGUAAUACGGAGGAUGCGAGCGUUAUCCGGAUUUAUUGGGUUUAAAGGGUGCGCAGGCGGAAUGUCAAGUCAGCGGUAAAAUUUCGGGGCUCAACCCCGUCGUGCCGUUGAAACUGGCGUUCUUGAGUGAGCGAGAAGUAUGCGGAAUGCGUGGUGUAGCGGUGAAAUGCAUAGAUAUCACGCAGAACUCCGAUUGCGAAGGCAGCAUACCGGCGCCCAACUGACGCUGAAGCACGAAAGCGUGGGUAUCGAACAGGAUUAGAUACCCUUGUA
rnacentral:rRNA from 1 species